rnacentral:rRNA from 1 species
GAUGAACGCUGGCGGCGUGCCUAAUACAUGCAAGUCGAGCGAACAGAUGAGGAGCUUGCUCCUCUGACGUUAGCGGCGGACGGGUGAGUAACACGUGGAUAACCUACCUAUAAGACUGGGAUAACUUCGGGAAACCGGAGCUAAUACCGGAUAAUAUAUUGAACCGCAUGGUUCAAUAGUGAAAGACGGUUUUGCUGUCACUUAUAGAUGGAUCCGCGCCGCAUUAGCUAGUUGGUAAGGUAACGGCUUACCAAGGCGACGAUGCGUAGCCGACCUGAGAGGGUGAUCGGCCACACUGGAACUGAGACACGGUCCAGCCUCCUACGGGAGGCAGCAGUAGGGAAUCUUCCGCAAUGGGCGAAAGCCUGACGGAGCAACGCCGCGUGAGUGAUGAAGGUCUUCGGUUCGUAAAACGCUGUUAUAGGGGAAGAACAAAUGUGUAAGUAACUAUGCACGUCUUGACGGUACCUAAUCAGAAAGCCACGGCUAACUACGU